AUGACCUUCAGCCUCUCGGCGUCAAUGGAGGAGAGCCGGGAGUAUAUGAUCCGAUUCGACUGCCACUUCGAGGACCCGAGCUCCGCGAGCGCCGAGCCACCGCUGCCGUUCGCCGGCAGGGUUUUCUCGCCAGAGCAGGAGCAGAGCGCCAUGGUCGCCGCGCUGCUGCACGUCGUCUCCGGGUACACCACGCCGGCGCCGGACCUCUUCUUCCCUGCGAGCAAGGAGGCGUGCACAGCGUGCGGGAUGGACGGGUGCCUCGGGUGCGAGUUCUUCGGCGCGGAGGCCGGGCGCGCGGCCGCGGCAUCGGACGCGCCGAGAGCGGCGACGGCUGGCGGGCCGCAGAGGAGGCGGAGGAACAAGAAGAACCAGUACCGCGGCGUCAGGCAGCGGCCGUGGGGCAAGUGGGCGGCGGAGAUCCGCGACCCGCGCCGCGCCGUGCGGGUGUGGCUCGGGACCUUCGACACGGCCGAGGACGCCGCCAGGGCCUACGACCGCGCGGCCGUCGAGUUCCGCGGCCCGCGCGCCAAGCUCAACUUCCCCUUCCCCGAGCAGCAGCAGCAGCAGCAGCUAGGCGGCGGCGGCAAUGCCGCGGCCAGGUCAGACGCGUGCUCGCCCUCGCCUUCGCCACGCAGCGCGGACGAGGAGGAAACAGGGGACCUGCUCUGGGACGGCUUGGUGGACCUGAUGAAGCUGGACGAGAGCGACCUCUGCUUACUGCUCCCGGUCGACAACACCUUGGACAGAGACGAUUGGGUGCCUAUUUGUAGUGCUAGACAAAUGCUACCUAGCAGUUAG
rnacentral:rRNA from 1 species